rnacentral:rRNA from 1 species
CCUACGGGUGGCAGCAGUAGGGAAUAUUGCUCAAUGGGGGAAACCCUGAAGCAGCAAAGCCGCGUGGAGGAUGACGGUCUUCGGAUUGUAAACUCCUUUUGUUAGAGAAGAUAAUGACGGUAUCUAACGAAUAAGCACCGGCUAACUCCGUGCCAGCAGCCGCGGUAAUACGGAGGGUGCGAGCGUUACUCGGAAUCACUGGGCGUAAGGGGCGCGUAGGCGGGAUAGCAAGUCAGAUGUGAAAUCCUAUGGCUUAACCAUAGAACUGCAUUUGAUACUGUUAUUCUAGAGUAUGGGAGAGGUAGGUGGAAUUCUUGGUGUAGCGGUGAAAUGCGUAGAGAUCAAGAAGAAUACUCAUUGCGAAGGCAGCCUACUAGAACAUAACUGACGCUGAUGCACGAAAGCGUGGGGAGCAAACAGGAUUAGAUACCCCGGUAGUC